rnacentral:misc_RNA from 1 species
UCAAGAGUGUAUGACCCCACUAAUAAAAUAGUGGGGUUAACCUCCCGUCCUUUGCUGGCCCUUCCCUUUUGUGGAGGGGGGCAUUUUGAUUUCUGCUUCGGUGGGGUUUACUCACCGAAACACCCUCAAAAAAUUCUUUUUCAAGACCGUUCAGUCCGAGUAUUAUUUUUUGAAUUAACGAA